rnacentral:rRNA from 1 species
CGUAGAGAAAUCGAGUCUUAAUAGGGCGUUUAGUUGCUGGGUAUAGACCCGAAACCAGGCGAUCUAUCCAUGAGCAGGUUGAAGGUUGGGUAACACUAACUGGAGGACCGAACCCACUGUCGUUGAAAAGCCAGGGGAUGACUUGUGGAUAGGGGUGAAAGGCUAAUCAAGCCUGGUGAUAGCUGGUUCUCCCCGAAAGCUAUUUAGGUAGCGCCUCGGACGAAUACCAUAGGGGGUAGAGCACUGUUUCGGCUAGGGGGUCAUCCCGACUUACCAAACCGAUGCAAACUCCGAAUACCUAUGAGUACUAUCCGGGAGACAGACUGCGGGUGCUAACGU